rnacentral:lncRNA from 1 species
UACGCCGCCUGAGAUGUGCUGUCUUUGUGAGGAACUAAAUUUAAACAAGACUUUGGAGAAGACUUGGGGUGCUUUGGAGAAGCUCUGCUCCAGGAAUUCAGGCAGUGAUGUCUCCAGAGCAGCUCUCAGCGUGCUGCAGUUUGAACCUCAGAGGGAAUGCUUUGGGGCUUUGGCGGUGGCGUUGCAUGCUGCUGGGUGCUCUGCUCCCCCACCGUGUUGGGACCACUGCAAUGCGCCGAUGUUUGCUCAGUGCUGAACAUGCUUUGAAACUCAGGCAUGGGAACGGGUA